rnacentral:misc_RNA from 1 species
AAUGAUGUUGUUGUUGCUGGAGGCAUGGAAAGCAUGUCUAAUGCACCUAAAUACCUGGCAGAAGCAAGGAAGGGAUCACGACUUGGACAUGAUUCAGUAGUUGAUGGAAUGCUGAAAGAUGGGUUGUGGGAUGUUUAUAAUGAUGUUGGCAUGGGAAGUUGUGCUGAAAUAUGUGCUGAUAAUCAUUCAAUAACAAGAGAGGAUCAGGAUAACUAUGCUAUUCACAGUUUUGAGCGUGGUAUUGCUGCCCAAGACAGUGGUGCCUUUGCAUGGGAAAUUGUUCC